ACCCGCACAAGCAGCGGAGCGUGUGGUUUAAUUCGUUGCUACACGAAGAACCUUACCUGGGUUUUGACAUAUAGGUUGUAGGGAACUGAAAAGGGACCGACCCUUCGGGGAGCCUAUACAGGUGUUGCAUGGCUGUCGUCAGCUCGUGUCGUGAGAUGUUCGGUUAAGUCCGCUAACGAGCGCAACCCUCGUCGUAUGUUAUAUGUGUCAUACGAGACUGCCGGUAAAAGCCGGAGGAAGGUGAGGAUGAUGUCAAGUCAGCAUGACCUUUAUAUCCAGGGCUACACACACGCUACAAUGGUCUGUACAAUGGGUAGCCAAGCCGCGAGGCGGAGCCAAUCCUGAAAGCAGGCCUCAGUUCAGAUUGCAGUCUGCAACUCGACUGCAUGAAGCCGGAGUUGCUAGUAACCGCAGGUCAGCAAUACUGCGGUGAAUACGUUCCCGGGUCUU
rnacentral:rRNA from 1 species